rnacentral:rRNA from 1 species
AACGAACGCUGGCGGCAUGCCUAACACAUGCCAGUCGGACGAUUGCCUUCGGGUGAUAGUGGCGCACGGGUGCGUAACGCGUGGGAAUCUGCCCUUAGGUUCGGAAUAACAGCUGGAAACGGCUGCUAAUACCGGAUGAUAUCGCGAGAUCAAAGAUUUAUCGCCUGAGGAUGAGCCCGCGUUGGAUUAGGUAGUUGGUGGGGUAAAGGCCUACCAAGCCGACGAUCCAUAGCUGGUCUGAGGGGAUGAUCAGCCACACUGGGACUGAGACACGGCCCAGACUCCUACGGGAGGCAGCAGUGGGGAAUAUUGGACAAUGGGCGCAAGCCUGAUCCAGCAAUGCCGCGUGAGUGAUGAAGGCCCUAGGGUUGUAAAGCUCUUUUACCCGGGAAGAUAAUGACUGUACCGGGAGAAUAAGCCCCGGCUAACUCCGUG